AUUGAACGCUGGCGGCAGGCCUAACACAUGCAAGUCGAGCGCGAAAGCACUUCGGUGUGAGUAGAGCGGCGGACGGGUGAGUAAUGCUUGGGAAUCUACCUAGUAGUGGGGGAUAACGUGUGGAAACGCACGCUAAUACCGCGUACGUCCUACGGGAGAAAGCAGGGGACCUUCGGGCCUUGCGCUAUUAGAUGAGCCCAAGUCGGAUUAGCUAGUUGGUAGGGUAAUGGCUUACCAAGGCGACGAUCCGUAGCUGGUCUGAGAGGAUGAUCAGCCACACUGGGACUGAGACACGGCCCAGACUCCUACGGGAGGCAGCAGUGGGGAAUAUUGCACAAUGGGCGAAAGCCUGAUGCAGCCAUGCCGCGUGUGUGAAGAAGGCUCUAGGGUUGUAAAGCACUUUCAGUAGGGAGGAAAAGUAUGUAGUUAAUAACUGCAUACCCUGACGUUACCUACAGAAGAAGCACCGGCAAACUCCGUGCCAGCAGCCGCGGUAAUACGGAGGGUGCGAGCGUUAAUCGGAAUUACUGGGCGUAAAGCGCGCGUAGGUGGUUUGAUAAGCUAGCUGUGAAAGCCCCGGGCUCAACCUGGGAACUGCAGUUAGAACUGUCUGACUAGAGUACAGUAGAGGGUGGCGGAAUUUCCUGUGUAGCGGUGAAAUGCGUAGAUAUAGGAAGGAACAUCAGUGGCGAAGGCGGCCACCUGGACUGAUACUGACAACUGAG
rnacentral:rRNA from 1 species